AACUAACGCUGGCGGCGUGCCUAACACAUGCAAGUCGUACGAGAAAGUUGGCUUCGGCCGAUGAGUAAAGUGGCGCACGGGUGAGUAAUGCGUGGAUAAUCUGCCCUUUAGUUGGGAAUAACGUACCGAAAGGUGCGCUAAUACCUGAUAAUACUGCAUAACUACUGUUGUGUAGUCAAAGAAGGCCUCUGUUUACAAGCUUUUGCUGAAGGAUGAGUCCGCGUACCAUUAGCUGGUUGGUGGGGUAAUGGCCUACCAAGGCUACGAUGGUUAGCUGGUCUGAGAGGAUGAUCAGCCACACUGGAACCGAGACACGGUCCAGACUCCUACGGGAGGCAGCAGUGAGGAAUAUUGCGCAAUGGGGGCAACCCUGACGCAGCAACGCCGCGUGAGUGAGGAAGGUUUUCGGACCGUAAAGCUCUGUCGAGCGGGAAGAAAUGUAUCAUGGCUAAUAUCCAUGAUACUUGACGGUACCGCUAAAGGAAGCACC
rnacentral:rRNA from 1 species